rnacentral:rRNA from 1 species
GACGAACGCUGGCGGCGUGCCUAACACAUGCAAGUCGAACGGGACCAGGGGCAACUCUGGUUCAGUGGCGGACGGGUGCGUAACACGUGAGGAACAUGACCUUCGGCGGGGGAUAGCCGGCCCAACGGCCGGGUAAUACCGCGUACGACCUUUCGGGGACAUCCCUGGAUGGUGAAAGCAGCAAUGCGCCGAUGGAGUGCCUCGCGGCCUAUCAGCUAGUUGGUGAGGUAACGGCUCACCAAGGCGACGACGGGUAGCUGGUCUGAGAGGAUGGCCAGCCACAUUGGGACUGAGACACGGCCCAGACUCCUACGGGAGGCAGCAGUGGGGAAUAUUGCGCAAUGGACGAAAGUCUGACGCAGCGACGCCGCGUGUGGGAUGACGGUCUUCGGAUUGUAAACCACUGUCGGGAGGGACGAAUACGCCGCAAGGCGGGUGACGGUACCUCCAAAGGAAGCACCGGCU